GUCGACGGGCCACACCACCCUUGACGGCUCCGAUCUCGUCUGAUCUCGGAAGCUAAGCAGGGUCGGGCCUGGUAGUAACUGAUGGAUGGGAGAACCGCCUGGGAAUACCGGGUGCCGUAGGCU
rnacentral:rRNA from 1 species